GAUGAACGCUGGCGGCGUGCCUAAUACAUGCAAGUCGAGCGAACAGACGAGGAGCUUGCUCCUCUGACGUUAGCGGCGGACGGGUGAGUAACACGUGGAUAACCUACCUAUAAGACUGGGAUAACUUCGGGAAACCGGAGCUAAUACCGGAUAAUAUAUUGAACCGCAUGGUUCAAUAGUGAAAGACGGUUUUGCUGUCACUUAUAGAUGGAUCCGCGCCGCAUUAGCUAGUUGGUAAGGUAACGGCUUACCAAGGCAACGAUGCGUAGCCGACCUGAGAGAGUGAUCGGCCACACUGGAACUGAGACACGGUCCGGACUCCUACGGGAGGCAGCAGUAGGGAAUCUUCCGCAAUGGGCGAAAGCCUGACGGAGCAACGCCGCGUGAGUGAUGAAGGUCUUCGGAUCGUAAAACUCUGUUAUUAGGGAAGAACAAAUGUGUAAGUAACUAUGCACGUCUUGACGGUACCUAAUCAGAAAGCCACGGCUAACUACGUG
rnacentral:rRNA from 1 species